rnacentral:rRNA from 1 species
GACGAACGCUGGCGGCGUGCUUAACACAUGCAAGUCGAACGGUGAAGGGGAGCUUGCUCCCCGGAUCAGUGGCGAACGGGUGAGUAACACGUGGGCAACCUGCCCCAGACUUCGGGAUAACGCUUCGAAAGAGGUGCUAAUACCGGAUACGAACUCCUUGGGCAUCCUGGGAGUUGGAAAGUUUUUCGGUCUGGGAUGGGCCCGCGGCCUAUCAGCUUGUUGGUGAGGUAACGGCUCACCAAGGCGACGACGGGUAGCCGGCCUGAGAGGGCGACCGGCCACACUGGGACUGAGACACGGCCCAGACUCCUACGGGAGGCAGCAGUGGGGAAUAUUGCGCAAUGGGCGAAAGCCUGACGCAGCAACGCCGCGUGAGGGAUGACGGCCUUCGGGUUGUAAACCUCUUUCAGCAGGGAAGAAGCGAAAGUGACGGUACCUGCAGAAGAAGCACCGGCUAACUACGUGCCAGCCGCCGCCGUAAAAC